AUUGAACGCUGGCGGCAUGCUUUACACAUGCAAGUCGAACGGUAACAGGGUGCUUGCACCGCUGACGAGUGGCGAACGGGUGAGUAAUGCGUCGGAACGUGCCGAGUAGUGGGGGAUAACGCAGCGAAAGUUGUGCUAAUACCGCAUACGUACUGAGGUAGAAAGUGGGGGACCUUCGGGCCUCACGCUAUUCGAGCGGCCGACGUCUGAUUAGCUAGUAGGUGAGGUAAAGGCUCACCUAGGCGACGAUCAGUAGCGGGUCUGAGAGGAUGAUACGCCACACUGGGACUGAGACAGGGCCCAGACUCCUACGGGAGGCAGCAGUGGGGAAUUUUGGACAAUGGGCGAAAGCCUGAUUCAGCCAUGCCGCGUGUCUGAAGAAGGCCUUCGGGUUGUAAACUGCUUUUGUACGGAACGAAAAGCCCUGGGUUAAUACCCUGGGGUCAUGACGGUACCGUAAGAAUAAGCACCGGCUAACUACGUGCCAGCAGCCGCCGUAAAAC
rnacentral:rRNA from 1 species